GAUCAUUACCGAGUGCGGGCCCUCGUGGCCCAACCUCCCACCCUUGUCUCUAUACACCUGUUGCUUUGGCGGGCCCACCGGGGCCACCUGGUCGCCGGGGGACAUCUGUCCCCGGGCCCGCGCCCGCCGAAGCGCUCUGUGAACCCUGAUGAAGAUGGGCUGUCUGAGUACUAUGAAAAUUGUCAAAACUUUCAACAAUGGAUCUCUUGGUUCCGGCAUCGAUGAAGAACGCAGCGAAAUGCGAUAAGUAAUGUGAAUUGCAGAAUUCCGUGAAUCAUCGAAUCUUUGAACGCACAUUGCGCCCCCUGGCAUUCCGGGGGGCAUGCCUGUCCGAGCGUCAUUUCUGCCCUCAAGCACGGCUUGUGUGUUGGGUGCGGUCCCCCCGGGGACCUGCCCGAAAGGCAGCGGCGACGUCCGUCUGGUCCUCGAGCGUAUGGGGCUUUGUCACUCGCUCGGGAAGGACUGGCGGGGGUUGGUCACCACCAAAAUUUUACCACGGUUGACCUCGGAUCAGGUAGGAGUUACCCGCUGAACUUAAGCAU
rnacentral:rRNA from 1 species